rnacentral:lncRNA from 1 species
GCUUUAUCAUGAUGUUCAAGACCAAGAAUCAGAAGCUCCUGGAUGCCUUAAAAAAUAAGCAAUGUUAACAGUGAACUGUGUCCAUUUAAGCUGUAUUCUGCCAUUGCCUUUGAAAGAUCUAUGUUCUCUCAGUAGAAAAAAAAAUACUUAUAAAAUUACAUAUUCUGAAAGAGGAUUCCGAAAGAUGGGACUGGUUGACUCUUCACAUGAUGGAGGUAUGAGGCCUCCGAGAUAGCUGAGGGAAGUUCUUUGCCUGCUGUCAGAGGAGCAGCUAUCUGAUUG